UCCCGAUGGGGGGGCUGCGUUACACAUGCAGUCGACGAGAAUCUUGAGCAUCGAGAGAGUAAAGUGGCAGCACGGGUGAGUAGCGCGUGGGUAACCUACCCUUGGGUUGGGGAUAACUCCUCGAAAGGGGUGCUAAUACCGGGUAAUAUUCCGAUCUCUUCGGAGGUUGGAAUCAAAGGAGGCCUCUGCAUGCAAGCUUCCGCCUAAGGAUGGGCCCGCGUACCAUUAGCUAGUUGGUAGGGUAAUGGCCUACCAAGGCGACGAUGGUUAGCUGGUCUGAGAGGAUGGCCAGCCACACUGGAACUGAGACACGGUCCAGACCCCUACGGGAGGCAGCAGUGGGGAAUCUUGCGCAAUGGGGGAAACCCUGACGCAGCAACGCCGCGUGGGUGAUGAAGGCCUUCGGGUCGUAAAGCCCUGUCAGGUGGAAAGAAUCGUGUCGGUACGAACAAUACCGACGCUUGACGGUACCACCGGAGGAAGCACCGGCUAACUCCGUGCCAGCAGCCGCGGUAAUACGGAGGGUGCAAGCGUUGUUCGGAAUUACUGGGCGUAAAGAGCGUGUAGGCGGUUAGGCAAGUCAGAUGUGAAAGCCUUUCGCUUAACGGAAGAAUUGCAUUUGAAACUACCUGGCUGGAGUUCGGGAGAGGAGAGUGGAAUUCCCGGUGUAGAGGUGAAAUUCGUAGAUAUCGGGAGGAACACCGGUGGCGAAGGCGGAUCUCUGGCCCGAUACUGACGCUGAGACGCGAAAGCGUGGGGAGCAAACAGGGAUUAGAUACCCUGGUAGUCCACGCUGCUAAACGAUGCGCACUAGGUGUAGGACGUAUUGACCCAUUCUGUGCCGAAGCUGACGCAUUACGUGCCUCCGCGUGGGUGAGUACGGACCCGCAAGGC
rnacentral:rRNA from 1 species